ACCUGGGUGGCUCAGUCAGUUAAGCGUCUGACUUCAGCUCAGGUCAUGAUCUCGAGGUUCAUGGGUUCGAGCCUCAUAUCAGGUU
rnacentral:tRNA from 1 species